GGGUCAGUAGGUUGGUCGUGCCCCCGGUACGUACUGGUCUCACUGAUUCCUCCUUCCUGAAGAACCGUAAUGCCAUUAAUUUGGUGUUGCGGGGAAACAGGACUGUUACUUUGAAAAAAUUAGAGUGUUUAACGCAAGCUAACGCUUGAAUACAUUAGCAUGGAAUAAUGAAAUAGGACGAUCGAUCCUAUUUUGUUGGUUUCUAGGAUUGACGUA
rnacentral:rRNA from 1 species